rnacentral:RNase_P_RNA from 1 species
CCAGUUGGCUGGGUAGCCGCGCUUUAAGGGAAUGAUCUCUUUAAGGUGAGGAAAGUCCGGGCUCCAUGAAAACUCAACGCCGGAUAACGUCCGGCAAAGGUGACUUUAGGGAAAGUGCCACAGAAAAUAUACCGCCUUCAAUCAAAGGUAAGGGUGAAAUGGUGGGGUAAGAGCUCACCGCGUUUUUGGUAACAGAAAUGGCAGGGUAAACCCCGUUGGGAGCAAGACCAAAUAGGGAUAGCGCGGAGUAAUACUCCAGAUUUGUUUUCGAUCUAGUUAUCCGGGUAGGUUGCAUGAGGUGCUAUGUGAAUAGCAUCCUAGAUGGAUGGCUAUCAGUUUCCUCUAUGGAAAUAUACAGAACCCGGCUUAUAAGCCAACUGGUCGU